CCAACUAACUACUUCAACUAACCCUGAGUUUCUCCUCCUCUGUAGCUGAAGCUGGCAAACUGAAGGCGGUGUGAGACAUGGGAUGUCCCUUUGUUGAAGACCCAGUUGAUAUCGAAUCAGAAAUACUUCGCAGAAAUCUCCGUUGGGAGAGGGUGAUCAGACCCCGCUUGGAUGUUUAUCUGUGAUGAUUAUCCGUUGGGAGUUUUCUAUACAACAUUGGUGACGCUGAGCAUAUUUCUAAAGCAACCGUCUGUCGGGCUGUCAGAAAUGUGACUCUUGGAUUGAAACGGUUACUAUACACCUUUGUGGUGUUCCCAAGUCACAGCCCCACAAGACUCAAAGAAGAAUUCCACAGAAUUGCAGGAGAGUUUGAUGGUUAAAUGCUCGGUGACAGGGUACCCCUGCCAGCCCUAUUUGCUGACCUCUUACACUGAUCUUGAGCCCGGCCCGCAGCAACGUUAUAACUUGGCUCACUGCAGGACACGAGCCAGGGUGAUGACCAUUGGGAUUCUCAAGGCCCGGUUCCAGUGCCUUCAUCGGCUCAGGGUCACCCCGGAAAGGGCAUGUGACAUUAUUGUGGCAUGUGUGAUUCUCCACAACAUUGCCACAAUUAGAGGAGAACAAUGUCCCACUCAACCAGCAAAUGAUCCUGAUAUCGAUCCUGACCACCCCGCUGAUGCACGAGAUGGAAGAGAAUUGAGAGACACCUGCUACCAUAAUUUCUGAUUGACCCAUCACCU